GUGUCAGCAGCCGCGGUAAUACGGAGGGUGCGAGCGUUGUUCGGAAUCAUUGGGCGUAAAGGGCGUGCAGGCGGUUGGGUAAGUCUGAUGUGAAAGCCCGGGGCUCAACCCCGGAAGUGCAUUGGAAACUGUCCGACUUGAGUACCGGAGAGGAUGGGGGAAUUCCCGGUGUAGAGGUGAAAUUCGUAGAGAUCGGGAGGAAUACCAGUGGCGAAGGCGCCCAUCUGGACGGAUACUGACGCUGAGACGCGAAAGCGUGGGGAGCAAACAGGAUUAGAUACCCUAGUAGUCC
rnacentral:rRNA from 1 species